GGCUCUCCUUCAUGCAUAGGUUUUCCUCCGUUGAAGCGCAUUCUGGGCUUUCUCACCUCCAUUGCCGUGCAACUCCUCUCUUUCUCUCCAUAUAUAGCUAUCUCCUCCAUUGAAGCGCAUACUGUCGAGCUUUCUGACCUCCAUUGAAGCGCAUUUCGAGCUUUCCAACUCCAUUGUAGAAGCUUCGAGGUAAGAAAUAUUUCGUGGUAUUCCUAGUCUAUUGAAUAGCUUCGCAAUCUAGGGUUAAUCGUUGAUUUAGGAUUUUCUGUUCUUUGUGGUUUGCUUUGAGAUUUUGGGUGGAUUAUGCAAAGAAGCUCAUAAAUAACAAACAUUGACUUCCUCAACUUGUUAGCUAGGGUUUGUCAUUGAAGCGUGCACGGCUCUACCUCCACCACAACGGCCUCCUUAUCACGGCGCCAGGGCCUUCUUUUUCUAGGGUUUAUCGUCAAUUCCCCCCUUUUUCUUCGAUCUUUUUUGUUUGAUAUUUUUUUAUUAUUGAAGAUUUCUUGUGUAUUAUGUGUGUUAGUGUGUGAUUGCUGUUUGUUUUUGUUUCUUUGAGAUGUACUGGUACAACUGUUAGUGUGUGAUGAAACAUAAUUCAUUGAAAUUAUGUUGUUCAAGCUUGAUGGUAUGUCUCUUUUCUCAACAUUGAUUGAAUUUAUAUGAUGAAUCAAGUGUUGUGUUUAGUAUCUGAAUCGUAUUUGUUCUUCAGGGUUUUCAGCGAAGAGCUGAGUUGAAGGGGAGGGUUAGAUGAGCUUUGAAGCACUCGUAGUCAAUUGAAUUGCGCACUAAGGAUGAACUUAGUUGAGCUCGACGUUCAGGAAAAUGGAAUUGAUGACCGCAGUGGCUGUUGGUUGAGUUGCUUUCCUGAAAACUUUACUUCAUUGGAAAUUCUAAAUUUCUGUAAUCUUCAUUCAGAAAUCUGCUUUCCGUCCCUUGAGAGACUAGUAGCUAGGUGUAAAUCUUUAAGGGUCUUAAAGGUGAACCUGGAGCAGCUACUGAGGUUGCUUACUCAUGCUCCUUGGUUGACACAGCUAGGCACAGGUGCCUUCUCACAGGAGCUCUAGCCAGCUCAGUAUUCUAGUCUCGAGAGCGUGUUUAACAACUAUCACAGUCUUCAAACUAUCUCUGGUUUAUAUGAAGCUCAUCCACUCUGUUUGUUUGGUCUGCUAGGGUCUGGUUUACAAACGCUCGGGUUUCUGGUUUCUGGUUGCUGUGCUGUUCCUGGCUAUUGGGAUCUGGUUGCAGGCUCUGGUGCAGUUCAUGUGCUGGAUUUGGUUGCUGCAGGUGUUGGGUGGGUGGCUAUGCUUGGUAUGCUCAUUUGUUUGGAAACCUGCUGCUGGAAGCCUGCUGGCUGUGUCUGUUUGGGUUGUUUCUGUUUUUUGUUUCUAUUAGGGUGGGCUGCUGUCUUCUAUUGCAGUGCAUCAUGGUUGGCUAUUUUUGAAGAAAAUAUAUAUGUUAGUGUUUAUAUUUCCAUUUUUGUUUUAGUUCUUUAAAGUGUAAUAUUACAAGUUAUUG